UCCAAGAGAAGCAGCUACUGAGGCCAAAGAAAAGAGGGGAAGACGAAGGAGCGGGGGGGAAGACAAAUAAAUAAAUGAAAGCGCGCGCGAGCGAGAGGGGCCGGGGAGAGGAGGGAGCGAGGGAGCGCCCGGGACUCGCGACGGCGGCAGGUUCAAUUAGCUAAACAAAGAAAUCAUGGCGGAUUGUUUACAUUUGGCAGCGCCCGGCCGAGCGACCGCCGGCCCCCAGCCGCCGCGGGCCCCGAGGAGUCGGCGAGCUGCCCCCGCGCCCCGGCCGGAGAUUUGAGACUAUCGCUUUGCAGAAAACAUCUGGCUGCCGGUCUAGAAUAUGACUCAAGGUUCUCUGUCUACUGUGGUGAUGCUAUUAUCUGG